rnacentral:rRNA from 1 species
UACGAAGGGGGCUAGCGUUGUUCGGAUUUACUGGGCGUAAAGCGCACGUAGGCGGAUCGUUAAGUCGGGGGUGAAAUCCUGGAGCUCAACUCCAGAACUGCCUUCGAUACUGAGAGUCUCGAGUCCGAGAGAGGUGAGUGGAACUGCGAGUGUAGAGGUGAAAUUCGUAGAUAUUCGCAAGAACACCAGUGGCGAAGGCGGCUCACUGGCCCGAUACUGACGCUGAGGCACGAAAGCGUGGGGAGCAAACAGG